AUGGGUUUACGAAAUAAAAUAAGCAAAUACGAGAUUGAUUUUUACCACUUUAUUUCAUUCCCAAUUAAAGUUGUACUUCUAAAUUACAAAAAACAUCGCAUUAUUUUAAUAGCCUACUUACUAUGAUCAAGGCUGAAUGUACAGAUUAAAAACACUAACUUAAGUACUAUUUACAGUGUACAUUAAAUAACUUAAAACUGUGGUCAUCUAAAAUGUAAAUUUUUAAUUACAAUCCAUUGAGGCACAUUUGCUACAAUUGCGCUUCGUAUAAAAAUCUUAAUACCAUGGUUGCAAUAAACGAUUAUGAUUAUUAUGAUUAAUAAAUAAACAAGUAAUACAAUCCAUAAUUAAUACCAGGUAAAUACAAACCGACCAAAUGCUUGUCGGACAACGCAAAAUUUACAGCGGCAGUUAAGCCCUAGGGGGCUUUGUUCGCUGUCAUAUUUUUUAAAAUAUAUUAAUGCUUUUUGUUAAUAAAUAUGUAAAUUAAAAAAUAAAACUGACCAGUUACAAAGAUGUCAUCUAUAUACUGGCCACCAGUUUUGUAUUCAGAACCGUAUUGUUACUUGCGUACAUUUGCUACUUGCGUUUAGUUAGUGGCAAAUGUAUGAACUCGCAAUAAACACUAAUCAAUGUGUAAACAGGUCCCAAUGUGUAAACAGGCCCCAAUGUGAAAACCAGCCACAUUUACCCGUUUUGACCGUAACUGUUACUGUUUUUUGUGGAACUGCCAGUUAUUGGAAAGCGGCCAGUAUCAGACGAUUUAUCCUAUUUUUAUCUAAAGUACCUCUAUUUAAUCAGUGCUUGUAUACUAGCGGGUUCGACUCGUAUAUAUACAAUAAGGGAUCACAGCAGUCUUAUAUAAUUCAAAGCACUCAUUUACAUCGCGAUAAAUUCAUCACAUCUAUAUAACCAUAAUUAUAUUAGCAAUAUAAAAAGUUUUGGCGGGAUUUUAUAUAGUUUAGCAAUUUUUAGGAUUAGAAUGAGCACCACAGAAGGAAGCAUGAGCUUGU